rnacentral:rRNA from 1 species
AACGCGAAGAACCUUACCCAGGCUUGACAUGCAGUAGACCGACACAGAGAUGUGUCUUUCCUUAGGGACUGCUGCACAGGUGCUGCAUGGCUGUCGUCAGCUCGUGCCGUGAGGUGUUGGGUUAAGUCCCGCAACGAGCGCAACCCUUAUCGUUAGUUGCCAACAUUUAAGGUGGGAACUCUAACGAGACUGCCCGGGUUAACCGGGAGGAAGGUGAGGAUGACGUCAAGUCCGCAUGGCCCUUAUGUCUGGGGCUACACACGUGCUACAAUGGCCGGUACAGAAGGCAGCGAAACCGUGAGGUGAAGCAAAUCCCGAAAGCCGGCCCCAGUUCAGAUUGUAGUCUGCAACUCGACUACAUGAAGAUGGAAUUGCUAGUAAUGGCGAGUCAGCAACAUCGCCGUGAAUACGUUCUCGGGCCUUGUACACACCGGAGUA